AUCCGGGUCGUGACAAUCAGCUUGUUCUUCUACCUGUCCACCUUUCUCUCUCAAACGCUUCUAUUGUUGCUAAACCUCCGAAAAAUUGUUGCAGCCUCUUUUCUCCAGAAUAUUCUCUUUGGUGAUGACCAACUACACCCGUUCUGAUUUCCUAAAUUGUCGUUUGUACUGAUGAAAAGACAAAGAACUUUCCCUUUCAUCGAUGUUACUAAUUGUCUUUGCAAAUCUCUAUGGCUUAUUUCUUCCAGAUUAGCCUGCGCCUCCGGAUUUCACCUCCGUCUUCUCUGCUUUGUCAAGGACUUCAUCAUAUCCUCUCACUUCAGGGAUUGCAAGAUAGGAAGUCACACCUGUUGACUCCGGGAAUAUGUUAUAGGAGGAGUUCUAGUGGUGGUUGCUCUUCGAAAUGUAGAGAUAUUAUUGCAUAGAGUUAAAGCUGUAGUAGAUUUAUUUUAUUCAAUACCAAAUGGUGCACACACAGAAGACAUGAACGUUUAACUCACACAAAACAAGACCUAUGCAUCGCACUUUAGGUGUCUUAGACCUACGUUUCUAUUGGAUGCUAACGCGAGUGACGCACCUGUUUUCGGUUAUUUUUUGUGCAUUGGUCUUGAGAAAGCUAUUAGGGUAUAUAACAGUGCUAGAAUUUCUUUGAGUAAGAUACUCAGUUUUAGGUGUGCAUAUGUUCUGUAUGUUAGAAACAUAUUUGAAUCUUUUUUAAUU